CUCGAUCCGUAUGCAUGCCGACUUAAAACUACCACCAUAUAAAUCUCCGCACCAUGCGACUAUGCGAUCGAUGGACCGACCAUUGAAAUCCGGCGAUGAGUGGCUAAAGGAUGGUGAGCUGGGGUGGCGACAAGCGUGGUGUUGGCCUUCUUCUUUGCAUCCCUACAUCAAAUCGGCCGUGGGUGAGAACGAUGAGGACGCCCAACUCACCUUAACCCGUCCUCACUUCUCUAUUUUCUUUCCUGUUUCCUCGAUUGUUCCAUCAGCUCUUCCGGUUCGGGGUUUUGGUGAUUAUUGGGUGAUAGUUCUUCGAAUUCUAGAGAUGGUUCUUAAUUUCUGGUUUCGCUUGGGUGUUAUAUGCAAAUUGUACAUGCAAUGGAAGGGUUGAAGCAUGCAUAGAAGCUGUACGAAAUGGUCGGUGCCCGGUUUCUCUUGGCUGUGCUCUCUGUUAUGACUGGAUGAGGAAAAGAUCUACAUUGUUAUCCAAAAAAUUUAGAGGCUCUUUUCAUAUUAAGUCAAUGUACCAAUUGAGUGUCUGAGAUUUCUGUACGUCAGUGAGAUGCAGGAAGUCAGCUUUUCUAUCAAAGGAUGCUGUAUACUUUAGAAGCUUUAUAAAAGAUCUGAAACUGUGUGGACUGUUGAAGCC